AAGUGCCGCGAAGUAUGGACGAGAACGACCUUCGGCUGAUGUUCGAGGAGUUCGGCAGGGUGCACCAGAUAAACGUGCUCCGGGACAAGAUAACGGGCGCGAGUAAAGGGUGCUGUUUUGUGACGUUUUUCACGCGGAAAGCGGCGUUGAAAGCGCAGGACGCUUUACACAAUAUCAAAACGUUAAGCGGGAUGCACCAUCCGAUCCAGAUGAAACCAGCAGAUAGCGAAAACAGAAAUGGUAA